AUUGAACGCUGGCGGCAUGCCUAACACAUGCAAGUCGAACGGCAGCACGGGAGCUUGCUCCUGGUGGCGAGUGGCGGACGGGUGAGUAAUGCAUAGGAAUCUGCCCAGUAGCGGGGGACAACUUGGGGAAACUCAAGCUAAUACCGCAUGCGCCCUACGGGGGAAAGCGGGGGACCUUCGGGCCUCGCACUAUUGGAUGAGCCUAUGUCAGAUUAGCUUGUUGGUGGGGUAACGGCCUACCAAGGCGACGAUCUGUAGCUGGUCUGAGAGGACGAUCAGCCACACUGGGACUGAGACACGGCCCAGACUCCUACGGGAGGCAGCAGUGGGGGAAUAUUGCACAAUGGGCGAAAGCCUGAUGCAGCAAUGCCGCGUGUGUGAGAAGGCCUGCGGGUUGUAAAGCACUUUCAGUAGGGAGGAAACAGUAGCCGGUUAACUAUACCGGUUGCCUUCGACGUUACCUACAGAAGAAGCACCGGCUAAC
rnacentral:rRNA from 1 species